UAUUCAUGAUAUUUUAUUAUUUUUUGUGGGGUUUUUUGCAGUUAGCUGGUUAAAAUGCCAAAGCCGACAUCACACCAAACACAACAGCAAGUAACAACAAGCAAAUGAAACAACGUGCUUUCAAAUAUGAUUGGAAAAUCUUGGGCAAGUCUCCUUUAUAUGUGACAUUGGGCAUACCUGUUUUCUCUCUCUCUUUCUCUUCCCUCUGUCUGUCCCACUCUGAGAUACAUGGCAAUCCUGAGACACCAGUGAUGCUGACCUCUUCUGUUCUUUGGACCUGCCUGAUCCAUCCUGAUGCCCUACUUCUAGCUGGAGUCUCAUCUCAUCGCUCCUGUGGAGGAUGGCCCCAUAUGGAAAAUCGAAAAUCGCACUUGGAAGAUGCUCUGGACACUUACAGUAAUACAUUUAUGCCUGAGGACUACAGUUGAUUUGAUAACUUUAGGACUGUAGUUGUCAUGAACAGUUUUGCACUCAAGUCUCCAUCAAUGAAGAGUUUCUAACUUCAACAAAACAGACUUCAUGCUAAAACUAUAAUGAAUUUCCUGAUUUACACAGUUAUACUUUGUGACUCUAUAGGACACAGUUAUAGAAGCGAGUUAUUUAUAAUCAUGUUAUCUGUUAUCACCCAGAUGAGGAUGGGUUCCCUUUUGAGUCUGGUUCCUCUUGAGGUUUCUUCCUCUUGUCAUCUGAGGGAGUUUUUCCUCGCCACCGUCACCACAGGCUUGCUCAUUGGGAUAAAUUAGGUAUAAAAUUAGCUAAUGUUUAAAGUCUUUAAUUUUCUGUAAAGCUGCUUUGCGACAAUGUCUGUUAUUAAAAGUGCUAUACAAAUAAACUUUACUUGACUUAAA